CAGAAAAUCUGUGACACUGACAGGGUUGUUGAACUUCAACUCCCAGUAAUCCUUAUCUUGGACCAGGCUGACUGGGAUAAUUGGGAAUGGAAGUUCAGUAACACCAGAAAUACUAUAGAUUGCAAACCUCCAGAUUACCACAUUGAAGAAACAAUUUCAAGGCUCCACUGAACCAUGAUGUUCACUGCAGGACAUAGUGCCCACCUCUAAUUUUGAGGCUAGCCGAUCUCAUAGUACAGAUGUGAGAAGAAAAAUGAGGGGGAGGGGCAGGAUAAAAUAUGGAUGAUGUAUUAUGUUAUUUGAAGGGAAGAGGGAUUUUGAUGUAUCUGUCUGGAGUCCCUUGUCUGUAAACACAAAUGGAAUCCUGAUGCAAAUUCCAUUCAAUCAAAGCAGACUGAUUCAGAGAAGAAUAUGGCAGAUGUUAGGGACCAAUAAUUUACAUAAUCUGCUUUCCUUGCUAGUAUUGAAAUUGUAUUAAACAAAUACUCUGUGACAUGUAAAACAGGUGGAAAAUUCCUUUCAGCUUAGUAGAUAUAUAAUAGAAAAGCCAUUACUCAGUGGUCAAGGAGAUAGUGGUAGGGGAAUUGCACAUGACUCAAAGAGAUUGGAAACCAAAUAUUCAAUGGCCCAAUAUUUGGCUUUUCCUUUUCUGGUCAAAGGCUUAACACACCUUUUUCUCUUUAAUUUCUAGGUAAAUCUUGACUGGGAAUGCACAAUGCCAUGAUUUGGGGUUGAUUACUGCUGAAUUUUGAUGAUAUGAACUUGAAAAGGUCUUGGAAUCUCUAAAGAAAAGACUGUGUUUAAAUUAAAACAACUGUGGAGAACUCAGAAGGAAAUGCAAAGUGUCAUAGCUGUUGAACUAAACACCGCUCUCAAAAGAGCCACCAAGACCAAAAUAUCUUCCCUUGUCAAGAUUACAUGGGUCGAGGCAUUAAGCAGACACACAUUGUGUGAACAAGCUUCCUUUAUUGAUCUCUUCUCUCAAUCAGCAAAAAGCAAAACGGCUCACAGGUCUUUUAUAGUGUCAAAAACUCAGAGAGUGUCAGCCAAUAGAAAUCUGG